rnacentral:rRNA from 1 species
ACGGAGGGUGCAAGCGUUAUCCGGAUUUAUUGGGUUUAAAGGGUCCGUAGGCGGGCUGAUAAGUCAGUGGUGAAAGCCGACAGCUUAACUGUCGAACUGCCAUUGAUACUGUCAGUCUUGAGUAUAUUUGAGGUAGCUGGAAUAAGUAGUGUAGCGGUGAAAUGCAUAGAUAUUACUUAGAACACCAAUUGCGAAGGCAGGUUACCAAGAUAUAACUGACGCUGAUGGACGAAAGCGUGGGGAGCGAACAG